rnacentral:rRNA from 1 species
GGUAAAUUUCUUCUAAAGCUAAAUACUGGCCAGAGACCGAUAGCGCACAAGUAGAGUGAUCGAAAGAUGAAAAGCACUUUGGAAAGAGAGUUAAAAAGCACGUGAAAUUGUUGAAAGGGAAGCGCUUGCAGCCAGACUUGCCUGUAGUUGCUCAUCCGGGUUUCUACCCGGUGCACUCUUCUAUAGGCAGGCCAGCAUCAGUUUGGGCGGUUGGAUAAAGGUCUCUGUCAUGUACCUCCUUUCGGGGAGAACUUAUAGGGGAGACGACAUGCAACCAGCCCGGACUGAGGUCCGCGCAUCUGCUAGGAUGCUGGCGUAAUGGCUGUAAGCGGCCCGUCUUGAAACACGGACCAAGGAGUCUAACAUCUAUGCGAGUGUUUGGGUGUCAAGCCCGAACGCGUAAUGAAAGUGAACGGAGGUGGGAACCUUUCGGGGUGCACCAUCGACCGAUCCUGAUGUCUUCGGAUGGAUUUGAGUAAGAGCAUAGCUGUUGGGACCCGAAAGAUGGUGAACUAUGCUUGAAUAGGGUGAAGCCAGAGGAAACUCUGGUGGAGGCUCGCAGCGGUUCUGACGUGCAAAUCGAUCGUCAAAUUUGGGCAUAGGGGCGAAAGACUAAUCGAACUAUCUAGUAGCUGGUUCCUGCCGAAGUUUCCCUCAGGAUAGCAGUAACGUUUUCAGUUUUAUGAGGUAAAGCGAAUGAUUAGAGGCCUGGGGGUUGAAACAACCUUCACCUAUUCUCAAACUUUAAAUAUGUAAGAA